rfam:Clostridium cadaveris strain NLAE-zl-G419 genome assembly, contig: Ga0070261_112
CCUUGAGGUAGAGGAGCGAUAAUCAAGAGUAGUGUUGCUGAGCAAAGCAGCUUUGAAGUUACAUGAAAGGGAUUAUUGCCGAAGCUUACAAUAAAUGCUUUAAUAUUGUACAGCUGGGAUUACGCAAAAUAUGUGUAAUACUGUCACAAAGUCAGUUUGUGGAGAGCUAUCAUCGUA